UCCAUGGUGGUCCAGUGGUUAGGACUCCGUGCUUUCACUGCUAAGGGCCCAGGUUCAAUCCCUGGUUGGGGAA
rfam:TPA: Bos taurus chromosome 18, whole genome shotgun sequence.